CUACCUGGCGGGAUUUGAACCCACGAUUAUUGGAUGCUAGACGAGUACUAAGACCAACUAAGCUACUGAGUA
rnacentral:tRNA from 1 species